AUUGAACGCUGGCGGCAGGCUUAACACAUGCAAGUCGAGCGGGGGAAGGUAGCUUGCUACCGGACCUAGCGGCGGACGGGUGAGUGAUGCUUAGGAAUCUGCCUAUUAGUGGGGGACAACAUCUCGAAAGGGAUGCUAAUACCGCAUACGUCCUACGGGAGAAAGCAGGGGAUCUUCGGACCUUGCGCUAAUAGAUGAGGCUCAGUCGGAUUAGCUAGUGGGUGGGGUAAAGGCCUACCAAGGCGACGAUCUGUAGCGGGUCGGAGAGGAUGGUCCCCCACCCUGGGACUGAGACACGGCCCAGACUCCUACGGGAGGCAGCAGUGGGGAAUAUUGGACAAUGGGGGGAACCCUGAUCCAGCCAUGCCGCGUGUGUGAAGAAGGCCUUAUGGUUGUAAAGCACUUUAAGCGAGGAGGAGGCUACUCUAGUUAAUACCUAGGGAUAGUGGACGUUACUCGCAGAAUAAGCACCGGCUAACUCUGUGCCAGCCGCCGCAGUAA
rnacentral:rRNA from 1 species